rnacentral:rRNA from 1 species
GAUUAUGGCUCAGGAUGAACGCUGGCGGCGCGCUUAACACAUGCAAGUCGAACGGUUAAAGCACCUCCGGGUGUGCAUAAAGUGGCGAACGGCUGAGUAACACGUGGGCAACCUGCCCCCCGCACCGGGAUAGCCUCGGGAAACCGUGGGUAAUACCGGAUACUCCGCCACCCCCGCAUGGGGGAGGCGGGAAAGCGUACACGGCGGGGGAUGGGCCCGCGGCCUGUUAGCUCGUUGGCGGGGUAACGGCCCACCAAGGCGAUUAUGGGUAGCCGGGUUGAGAGACCGACCGGCCAGAUUGGGACCGAGACACGGCCCAGACUCCUACGGGAGGCAGCAGUGGGGAAUCUUGCACAAUGGGCGAAAGCCUGAUGCCAGCGACGCCGCGUGCGGGAUGAAGGCCCUCGGGUUGUAAACCGCUUUCAGCAGGGACGAGGCGCAAGUGACGGUACCUGCAGAAGAAGCCCCGGCUAACUACGUGCCAGCCGCGGC